CAGAAUUUUUUCUCAAAAGAAAAUAUAAAAAGGGGCUGGGGAUAUAGUUGAAUGGUAGAGUGCCCCUGGACUGGAGUGUUCUUACUUAGAACUAGGAUAGGUGGGAGGAACCCAGUUGAGCAACAUUAGAGACAGCAUUCUGCCCAACCAGAAGAGUCAGAUGAACAUCCCAGCAAUCUCUUUCCAGGUGGACACUGUCCUCCUUGGGGAGCUAGAUGGAGUUGGGGUCAAGGAACUAUCAACACCGUCCUGCUCAUCCUGCCCAUGAUGAUGGAAAAGGAAAGUCCAAGAAGAAGUUGGGUCUGAGCUGGAGUCUGCAAAAGGCUGGAUCAGGCAGGAGAAAGCUCUAUAGAAGUUACUGAAGUUGAGAACUGAAGAAGUGGUAUAAUGCUCCCUUCCACCGCCCACCACAGGUCAUGUGAGAGGAGCCCCGAGGUGGCAGCACUAGGAGGGGAUUCUGCUUCGGAGCUUCAUGCCAACCUAUCAUCAUGAACUCUCAAGCCAAGGUAGAUCCAGCACCUGGAAGUGACCUGGUUUUUGCAUGAAUGUUUAGAAGUUAUAUGUGUGAUAGGCUCCUCUCCCUCAGAAAACAGCAGUGCACUGGAAAAUCAGCAUGCAUCCAAGGCAAUGUGUAGUUAUGUUUUUAGAGUAAAUUGUCCAAUGUCCACUUUGAUCCAGUCAACAGUUGCUUCUAGAUGAAGGCAGGGCACAUGCAUAGUCCCAGCUGACUCCCUUCUGUUGAACUAGGAUAUUUCUCAGUGGCACAGGCAAGGUACUAUAGACAGGAACUGCAUAUGAAGCAGCAUCUCCUUUAAAAUACGCAGUUGUCAUCUUUUAUCCAUUGGGGAAGACAUUCCAGGACCCAAUGGACCUCUGAAGGGUAACAAAUGCCAUAUAUAUUUGUGUUUUGUAUACUAUACAUAUAUACCUGUUAUGAAAUUUAUUAGUUAAGCACAAUAAAAAAUAAUAAAACAAUUUUAACAACAUACUGUAAUAAAAGAUACUUAAAACUUA